UUUGGUAGCCCUGUGGAUGCUGUGUGGUGUCUGGAAUGGGGCGUGUGUGUUCCCAUCAUACCCCUUCCCCUCUGCCUGCAGAGCUGAGGACAGACAGGUCUGAGGAGCAGAGCAGGAGCUCUGGGAAGGAGAAAAGCAAUAUGAAGAUGGAGUCUAAGAUGAGACCAGGGAAAAGAAGUCAUGGGGACGGAGUCCAGCCCUGAGGUGAGAUGGAAAGUGAUCAAGAGCAGUGACAGCGUGAAUCCUGUUGAUGCCAGGCAAGAGCUCCCCAACUGAGACAAGAGUAACCGUCCCUGUCGGUGAGAUGUGUAUCUGGUUUGGGAAGGGUUCUGGUCACAGCCGUACUGGCUCCAGGCAGGGACUUCCCGUUACCUGGGUGUGGGUUUCCGGACUAGCUGUGGCUUCAGGGGAGAUGAUGUUGCCAUUUGCGAGAUCUGAUCAUCUCUCUGGCCAGGAGUGGUGUGUGCUCCCUAGCAGAAAGUUGGAUCCAUGAGGGUGA